GAUGAAGAACGCAGCGAAAUGCGAUAAGUAAUGUGAAUUGCAGAAUUCAGUGAAUCAUCGAAUCUUUGAACGCACAUUGCGCCCGCCAGCAUUCUGGCGGGCAUGCCUGUUCGAGCGUCAUUUCAACCCUCAAGCUCUGCUUGGUGUUGGCGCCCUACGGUUGACGUAGGCCCUUAAAGGUAGUGGCGGACCCUCUCGGAGCCUCCUUUGCGUAGUAACUAACGUCUCGCAUUGGGAUUCGGAGGGACUCUUGCCGUAAAACCCCCAAAUUUUCUAAUGGUUGACCUCGGAUCAGGUAGGAAUACCCGCUGAACUUAAGCAUAUCAAUAAGCGGAGGA
rnacentral:misc_RNA from 1 species